GUGGGGAAUCUUCCGCAAUGGACGAAAGUCUGACGGAGCGACGCCGCGUGAGUGAAGAAGGCCUUCGGGUCGUAAAGCUCUGUCAUCAGGGACGAACGGCCGGUGGAGUGGAAAGCCACCGGAUUGACGGUACCUGAGAAGGAAGCCACGGCUAACUACGUGCCAGCAGCCGCGGUAAUACGUAGGUGGCAAGCGUUGUCCGGAAUUAUUGGGCGUAAAGCGCGCGCAGGUGGGAUCUUACGUCCAUUUUUAAAGUUCGGAGCUCAACUCCGUGAUGGGAUGGAAACUGGGAUUCUUGAGUAGCGGAGAGGAAAGCGGAAUUCCCCGUGUAGCGGUGAAAUGCGUAGAUAUGGGGAGGAACACCAGUGGCGAAGGCGGCUUUCUGGACGGUGUCUGACACUGAGGCGCGAAAGCCAGGGGAGCGAACGGGAUUAGAAACCCGAGUAGUCC
rnacentral:rRNA from 1 species